rnacentral:tRNA from 1 species
GUCGCGGUGGCUUAGCGGUAAAGCGCUGGGCUUCUGAACCGGAUGUCCCGGGUUCGAAUCCUGGUGAAGACU